UACGGUAGGGUGCAAGCGUUGUCCGGAAUCAUUGGGCGUAAAGAGCGUGUAGGCGGCCCGGUAAGUCCGCUGUAAAAGUCAAAGGCUCAACCUUUGAAUGUCAGUGGAUACUGCCGGGCUAGAGUCCGGAAGAGGCGAGUGGAACUCCUGGUGGUAGCGGUGGAAUGCGCAGAUAUCAGGAAGAACACCAACGGCGGAAGGCAGGCUCGCUGGGGACGGUACUGACGCUGAGACGCGAAAGCGUGGGGAGCGAACAGGG
rnacentral:rRNA from 1 species